AUGCCUUCGUCCACGACGUGUCCCCAGGCCUGGCAAGCCUGGUGCGGCGCUUCGUCAACUUCGUCUUCGUCCGUCUACGCAUGCUCGGUGUUGGCAACACCGGUGCAUGCCUUCGUCCACGACGUAUCCCCGGGCUUGGCAAACCCGCCGCGACGCCUCGUCAACACCAUCCUCCUUCUGGCGCGCCACUACCUCGAUACCACUGCGCCCAUGACUAACUCGGCUCCUUGCGCCCACGGCUCCACGGCGACUUCCUCGACACCGGCUACCCCGACUCGACAUCGACCGCGUCAUUUUUCGCUGGCUACCUCGACCAGGCUCCAUCACACACGCUCUCGGCUACAUCGACAACGACACAAAGGGCUACCGUUUUGCUUGAGCAACCUCGUCGGUUGUCACUCCAGCACGACUCCGCGAUGCAUCGACCGUUACGACUGUGGGGGGUGUCUGUCGGCUUACCUUCGGAUUCUUCUCCAGUCCCACCGUCUGCGUCGCUACCGUUGUGACUGCGGGGGAAUGUUGAGUAUAUUGAUUAGAUUAGAAACAUAG
rnacentral:rRNA from 1 species